rnacentral:rRNA from 1 species
UACGUAGGGGCCGAGCGUUGUCCGGAGUUAUUGGGCGUAAAGCGCGCGCAGGCGGCCUCGCGCGCCCGACGUGAAAGCCCCCGGCUUAACCGGGGAGGGUCGUUGGGGACGGCGGGGCUUGAGGGCGGGAGAGGUCGGUGGAAUUCCCGGUGUAGUGGUGAAAUGCGUAGAGAUCGGGAGGAACACCUGUGGCGAAGGCGGCCUGCUGGGCAGUUUAGCUGACACUGAGGCGCGACAGCGUGGGGAGCAAACAGG